GAACCAUCCGGGGAUCGCUGCCUACGCGCGAAAUGGAGUCAGAGUAAACAUCGAAAGAGUGUCAGAAAUACCAGAUAGUGUGGAGGAUGCAGCUACGUCCUAAGUCGAACGGACCCACUCACCGGGCUGUGAUUGGUCUAGCCAAGUCGAACGGUCCCACCAACCGGGCUGCGAUUGGUCUAGGCAAGUCGAAAGGUCCCACCCACCGGGCUGCGAUUGGUCUAGCGAAGGGCGGGGACGGGCUCAGUCCACACAUCGCAUCACGGAAACGCACUCACAAGAUCGACAAGUCAGCCACAGAGGUUGUGAAGGAGACACCGGUGAAGAAAUAUCAUGCAGAGAAUGGCUACGUCGACCACACGCCCCAACCACGGACCAACGGCACCGAUACACUCAUCUCAUCAACACCACAUCACAUCAAAUCAAAACUCAAGAAAAAAGCCAGCGAGGAUAAGAAGCAGCUCCGUGUGAAGAAUGACCCGACCAGUCCGCCUCGGACGUCGCUACUCGGGACGAUAUUCUCCCCCCUGUACCCCCCGUACGUGGGGCACGAAGGGGACACCGAGCUGCCUUCUCAGAAACAGGAGCUGGAAGACAUCGCGCGGUCUCUCAUUCUCGACAUGAAAUCCGCCGAAACUGACCAGGAUAACAACACCUGCAACUACAACAUCGGCAAGGAGAACGAGGACCCGUCGAUGGAGGAGUCUAUAGACUGCCACGAGCCGUGUGCCGUCGAGAAGGUGUACGAGGAGAACAACAACACUGGAGGCGGCGGGGCUGGGAUGGUUGUGUUUAGCCCGGGCACCGGUACGACGGGGGCCGAGUGUGGGGGGGACGCGGCGAUCACCGACCACGGGGAACUGACCGUGUACAACGCGGCGGACAUCGCCGACUGCGACUCGACUACGUGCAUCGUAGCCGAGGAAGAAACCUGUGAGGAGGAGAACUACGAGUGGGAGCAGGAGACGUACGACCCAUACACAAUAAUUCGGAGUUUACCUCCCCUGACGGACGAGUUGCGAGCCCGGGCGCCGGCCUUGCCACUCAAAACACGAAGUUCACCAGAGUUUUCACUAGUUCUAGAUUUGGACGAGACGUUAGUUCACUGUAGUCUGACAGAACUAGAGGAUGCGGCCUUCUCUUUUCCGGUCUUGUUCCAGGACGUCACUUACCAGGUGUUUGUAAGGACGCGGCCGUAUUUCCGGGAGUUUCUGGAGCGCGUGUCUCAAGUGUUCGAGGUAAUUCUGUUCACGGCGUCGAAGAAAGUCUACGCCGACAAACUGCUUAACCUGCUCGAUCCCGACAAGAAACUCAUCAGACACCGUCUGUUUCGAGAACACUGUAUCUGUGUUAACGGCUAUUACAUUAAAGAUCUGAGUAUUCUCGGGAGAGACCUCGCCAAAACCAUCAUCGUUGACAACUCUCCGCAAGCGUUUGGAUAUCAGCUAGAUAAUGGCAUCCCUAUAGAGAGUUGGUUUGUUGACAAGCUGGACAUAGAACUCAUGAAACUGUUGUGUGUUUUUCUUUUCUAGCUAGAUAACGGCAUCCCUAUAGAGAGUUGGUUUGUUGACAAGCUGGACAUAGAACUCAUGAAGCUGUUGCCCUUCUUGGAUGAUGUUGUCAUGCAGCACCGUGACGUGAGACCUCUGAUCCGAGACCGG
rnacentral:misc_RNA from 1 species